rnacentral:rRNA from 1 species
GUCUAUGGCCAUACCACCCUGAACACGCCCGAUCUCGUCUGAUCUUGGAAGCUAAAGAUGAGAAGCUAUAGUGCAAAGCUAACGCUGGUAGAGU